rnacentral:rRNA from 1 species
AUGAUAUACGUAUAUACUUGCUUCAGAUUUACCGUGUACUACCAUGCAUGUUCUGCUUGCUUCUUCAUGCAUACCGGCGGCGGCGCCGGCCGGCCGGCCCAGGCUUCUGGCACGCCGCCCCCUGCGUUAUUCAGUGCCAUGCUGUGCGUCCAGGUGGUCGACAGCUCAAGUGACGAAGUCGUGCAGCAGCUGCGACGACGACGAGGCGAACCGCUGCCGGUCGUCGCCGCCGUUGAGGAAGUCGAAGUCGCCGGGGUUGCCGUACAGCAGGCCCUGCUGCUCGGGCGGCACGUGGCCGGCGUUGUUGUUGUUGUUGUUGCAGUGCUGCAGGCCCAGCGUCAGCGACACGCUGCCGCCGAGGUCGCCCAUGCUGCCGCCGUACGUCACGAACCUGGCGUCGUCGCCACCGUGGUGCGCGAACGCGUCCUGCAGGAGGCUGCCGCCGCCCGGCCCGUGGUGGUUCAGGCUGGGGCCUGCUGGCGCGUACGUCGUGCCCAUGUCGCCGCCGCCGAGGCUGGACAGCGGGCCGGCGUCCAUGCUGCCCACCGGCUCCGACUUGUAGGCGUUGAGCAGCUGGCUCGCGCCGGCGUGCGUCGACGUGCUCUGGAACUCGUCCCGGUCCUGGUCCUCCGAGCAUGCCGCCUCGUCGACCUUACCGUGCUUGUUGCCGGCCUUCUCCGACGACGAGUUGGUGGAGUCCAUCUCCGCGCCGAACUCCUCCUUGAAGUGCUCGAAGAGCCAGGCGCGGAGGACGGAGACGGCGGACUCCGGGAGGCCGCGCUGGGGCCGCCACGCGUGCUGCGGCUGCUGCAUCAUGCCGAACUGCUGCAUGGCGCGCUGCUGCCGGAGGUGCUGGUCGAUGUACCGCAGCCGGGACAGGCCCCCCGCGCCGGAGCCGUCCUGAGGCUCGCCGAGGCUACGCCGCGCCGACUGCACCUGCGCGCCGAUUGCGUCCCGCAGCGACCGGAAGUGCCGGGAGAUCGUCUGCAGGGCCAGCGCCGUGUAAGGCUUCGCCGCGCCGGAGCCGGCCACCGCGUCGAACGACGACACCACCAUCUGCAUCUGCUGGUGGUAGUGCCUGUACCGCCUAUCCACCUGGUCCAGCAUGGCCAUCAGCGCCGUCACCUUGUUCUGGAGGUCCUGCCUCUCCGCCGGCGACAGCUCGGCGGCGGAGCUCCCCUCGUUCUCCUCGCCCUUGUCGCCCUCGACCUUGCCGCACUCGCCGUUGCCAGCCGAGUCGUCCUUCCUGUCCCCCUUCCUCUUGAUCGCGUCCCGGACACUGACCACCUCGUCCAGCAGCUCGCGCGCCGCCUUCAGGAACCUCGAGUUCUGCACGUACACGUUCACCUGCGCGUUCCUGCUCGCCGCCAUCGCCAUCGCCGACUGGUUCGGACUCAUCAAGGUGGGGAAAGCGGCCGCAGCCAUGCCACCCGGACGGCCGUACUGGUAGAGGGACACCGACACCUGCGAGCCGAGGCUGAGCGACAGGCCGCCCUGGUGACUACGCUGCCCGGCCGACGCGCCGCCGUCUCCCAUGAGCAUCUGCGUCUGCAGGCCGCCGAGCUCGGAGCCGUCCCUCGAGCUCAUGAACGCGGCCGGCUCGUCGUCUCGGCCAUCGCCGCCGCCGCCGUGGUGCGCUAUGUGGCUCUGCUGCACGAUGGACGCCGGGAGCGGGAUCAGGCCGCCGGUCGACGAGUCCGGGUAUUGGUUGGACAUGGGGUAGUGGUGGUGGAAUGA